CAGACAGACAGACAGACAGUCAGAUAGAUAGAUAGAUAGACAGACAGAUAAAGUCAAAUUAAAACUAUGCUGAAAUACCACGGUCUUAUCUAUCUGGUAAAAAUUUAGAAUUAUGACUAUAUAUUCUGUUAAGAAAGGCUAUGAGAAAAUAGGUAUUCAUACAUUUUUAGUAAGAAUGCAACAUUUCCUUUAAGAAAGGGAUUUGGCAAUAUCUUAUAAAAUUACAUAUGCAGUCAACAUCACUGAUCAUUCAGGGAAAUGCAAAUCAAAACCACAAUGAGAUACCAUUUCAUAUCCAUUAGGAGGAUGACUGGUGCCACUGCACUCCAGCCUGGCGACAAAGCCAGACUCCAUCUCAAAAAAGAAAGGCAAUAUUGUACACAUUAAGGGAAUGUGUACUGUUCAAAAAGGGAUACCCCACAAGCAUUACCACAGCAAAGCUGGAAGAGCCUACACUGUUACCCAGCAUGUUGUUGGCACUAUUGUAAACAAAUAAAGGCAAAAUUCUGGUCAAGAGAAUUAAUGUGCACACUGAGUACAUCAAGCACUCUAAGAGCCAAGACAGCUUCUGAAAUGCAUGUAAGAUGAUGAUCAGAAAAAGAAGGAAGCCAAAGAGAAAGGUACUUGUGUUCAGCUGAAGCACCAGCCUACUCCACCCAGGGAAGCACACUGUGUGAGAACCAAUGGGAAGGAGCCUGAGCUGCUGGAGCCUCUUCUCUGUGAAUCCAUGGCAUGAUAGGUGUAAAAAAAUAAAAGACCUCUGGACUGCAAAAUUCUUUCUCUUCAUUGAGUAGACAAGUAUGGUGUCCUUUCCCUCAAAGAAAUAAUUAAAGCAAAUUUUAAUUGUGUCCUAACCUAUUGUGAGAUGGUCUCGAUCUCUUGACCUCGUGAUCCACCC